ACGCUCGACACCUAGGAGGCAGCAGUGGGGAAUAUUGCACAAUGGGGGAAACCCUGAUGCAGCGACGCCGCGUGAAGGAAGAAGUAUUUCGGUAUGUAAACUUCUAUCAGCAGGGAAGAAGAUGACGGUACCUGACUAAGAAGCCCCGGCUAACUACGUGCCAGNCGCGUAGUACUNGCGGCGNGNGAGAG
rnacentral:rRNA from 1 species